rnacentral:rRNA from 1 species
UACGAAGGGGGCUAGCGUUGUUCGGAAUUACUGGGCGUAAAGCGUUGCGCAGGCGGUAAUGUAAGACAGAUGUGAAAUCCCCCGGGCUCAACCUGGGAACCUGCAUUUGUGAUCUGCAUUGCUGGAGUGCGGCAGAGGGGGAUGGAAUUCCGCGUGUAGCAGUGAAAUGCGCAGAUAUCAGGAGGAAACACCGGUGGCGAAGGCGGUGAUCUGGGCCGACCACUGACGCUGUAGAGCGAAAGCGUGGGGAGCGAACAGG